UUCCAGGUGGCGAAUGGGCCGUGGUAUCUGGCGUUCUUCGAGAACGCCGGCCUGGUGCAGUUCGAUCACCGCAUCUGGGCC
rnacentral:tRNA from 1 species